rnacentral:rRNA from 1 species
CCAACAGGGAUUGCCCUAGUAACGGCGAGUGAAGCGGCAACAGCUCAAAUUUGAAAUCUGGCCUCACGGUCCGAAUUGUAAUUUGUAGAGGAUGUUUCUGGCGACGUGUCUUCCGAGUUCCCUGGAACGGGACGCCAUAGAGGGUGAGAGCCCCGUCCGGUCGUACACCUAGCCUCUGUGAAACUCCUUCGACGAGUCGAGUAGUUUGGGAAUGCUGCUCUAAAUGGGAGGUAUACGUCUUCUAAAGCUAAAUACCGGCCAGAGACCGAUAGCGCACAAGUAGAGUGAUCGAAAGAUGAAAAGCACUUUGAAAAGAGGGUUAAAUAGUACGUGAAAUUGCUGAAAGGGAAGCGCUUAUGACCAGACUUGGGCUCGGUGAAUCAUCCGGCGUUCUCGCCGGUGCACUUUGCCGUCCCAGGCCAGCAUCAGUUCGCGCCGGGGGAUAAAGGUUUCGGGAAUGUAGCUCCCUCGGGAGUGUUAUAGCCCGUUGCGUAAUACCCUGGCGUGGACUGAGGUCCGCGCUCUGCAAGGAUGCUGGCGUAAUGGUCAUCAGUGACCCGUCUUGAAACACGGACCAAGGAGUCGUCUUCGUAUGCGAGUGUUCGGGUGUCAAACCCCUACGCGUAAUGAAAGUGAACGUAGGAGAGAGCUUCGGCGCAUCUCCGACCGAUCCUGAUGUUCUCGGAUGGAUUUGAGUAAGAGCAUACGGGGCCGGACCCGAAAGAAGGUGAACUAUGCCUGUAUAGGGUGAAGCCAGAGGAAACUCUGGUGGAGGCUCGCAGCGGUUCUGACGUGCAAAUCGAUCGUCAAAUAUGGGCAUGGGGGCGAAAG